rnacentral:rRNA from 1 species
GCUCAACCGGGGAGGGUCAUUGGAAACUGGGGAACUUGAGUGCAGAAGAGGAGAGUGGAAUUCCACGUGUAGCGGUGAAAUGCGUAGAGAUGUGGAGGAACACCAGUGGCGAAGGCGACUCUCUGGUCUGUAACUGACGCUGAGGCGCGAAAGCGUGGGGAGCGAACAGGAUUAGAUACCCUGGUAGUCCACGCCGUAAACGAUGAGUGCUAAGUGUUAGAGGGUUUCCGCCCCUUAGUGCUGCAGCAAACGCAUUAAGCACUCCGCCUGGGGAGUACGGUCGCAAGACUGAAACUCAAAGGAAUUGACGGGGGCCCGCACAAGCGGUGGAGCAUGUGGUUUAAUUCGAAGCAACGCGAAGAACCUUACCAGGUCUUGACAUCCUCUGACAACCCUAGAGAUAGGGCUUCCCCUUCGGGGGCAGAGUGACAGGUGGUGCAUGGUUGUCGUCAGCUCGUGUCGUGAGAUGUUGGGUUAAGUCCCGCAACGAGCGCAACCCUUGAUCUUAGUUGCCAGCAUUCAGUUGGGCACUCUAAGGUGACUGCCGGUGACAAACCGGAGGAAGGUGGGGAUGACGUCAAAUCAUCAUGCCCCUUAUGACCUGCGCUACACACGUGCUACAAUGGGCAGAACAAAG